GAUGAACGCUAGCGACAGGCCUAACACAUGCAAGUCGAGGGGCAGCAUGGUAUCAGCUUGCUGAUACCGAUGGCGACCGGCGCACGGGUGAGUAACGCGUAUGUAAUCUGCCUGUAACAGAGGGAUAACCCGGAGAAAUCCGGCCUAAUACCUCAUAGCACAUAUUAUUCGCAUGAGUUUUAUGUUAAAGAGACUCGGUUACAGAUGAACAUGCGUUCCAUUAGCUGGUUGGUGAGGUAACGGCCCACCAAGGCGACGAUCAGUAGCCGACCUGAGAGGGUGACCGGCCACAUUGGGACUGAGACACGGUCCAAACUCCUACGGGAGGCAGCAGUGGGGAAUAUUGCACAAUGGGGGAAACCCUGAUGCAGCGACGCCGCGUGAGCGAAGAGUAUUUCGGUAUGUAAAGCUCUAUCAGCAGGGAAGAAGAAAUGACGGUACCUGACUAAGAAGCACCGGCUAAAUACGUGCCAG
rnacentral:rRNA from 1 species